rnacentral:rRNA from 1 species
UAAAGUGGCGACCGGGUGAGUAACACGUGACUAACCUACCUUCGAGUGGGGGGAUAAACCUCGGGAAACCGGGGCUAAUACCGCAUAACAUCUUUGAAGUGGAAAUUUUGGAGAUCAAAGGAGCAAUUCGCUGGAAGAGGGGGUCGCGGCUGAUUAGCUAGUUGGCGGGGUAACGGCCCACCAAGGCUUAGAUCGGUAGCCGGCCUGAGAGGGCGCACGGCCACACUGGAACUGAGACACGGUCCAG